rnacentral:rRNA from 1 species
GACAGAGGUGCCGAGCGUUAGGCGGAAUCACUGGGCUUAAAGCGUGUGUAGGCGGAUUCCUAAGUACCUUGUGAAAUCCCACGGCUUAACCGUGGAACUGCUUGGUAUACUGGGUGUCUUGAGCCAACUAGAGGCAGUCGGAACAAACGGUGGAGCGGUGAAAUGCGUAGAUAUCGUUUGGAACGCCAAUGGUGAAAACAGACUGCUGGGGUUGUGCUGACGCUGAGACACGAAAGCCAGGGGAGCGAACAGG